rnacentral:rRNA from 1 species
UACGUAGGGUGCGAGCGUUAAUCGGAAUUACUGGGCGUAAAGCGUGCGCAGGCGGCUUGCUAAGACAGGUGUGAAAGCCCCCGAGCUUAACUUGGGAAUGGCGCUUGUGACUGGCAGGCUGGAGUGUGGCAGAGGGAGGUGGAAUUCCACGUGUAGCAGUGAAAUGCGUAGAGAUGUGGAGGAACACCGAUGGCGAAGGCAGCCUCCUGGGCCAACACUGACGCUCAUGCACGAAAGCGUGGGGAGCAAACAGG